CCCCUAGAUGUUCUGGGCCGCACGCGCGCUACACUGAACAGUUCAACAAGUCUUAACCUUGGCCGAUAGGUCUGGGUAAUCUUUGAACGCUGUUCGUGAUUGGGAUAGACCUUUGCAAUUAUGGGUCUUCAACGAGGAAUUCCUAGUAAACGCAAGUCAUCAGCUUGCAUUGAUUACGUCCCUGCCCUUUGUACACACCGCCCGUCGCACCUACCGAUUGGGUGCUCCGGUGAAUUGUUUGGACUGCUGUCAGUCUUUUCGGCUGUCGGCGAGAAGCUCUGUGAACCUUAGCACCUAGAGGAAGGAGAAGUCGUAACA
rnacentral:rRNA from 1 species